UACGGAGGGUGCGAGCGUUGUUCGGAAUUAUUGGGCGUAAAGCGCGUGUAGGCGGUCUUUUAAGUCUGAUGUGAAAGCCCCGGGCUCAACCUGGGAAGUGCAUUGGAUACUGGGAGACUUGAAUACGGGAGAGGGUAGUGGAAUUCCUAGUGUAGGAGUGAAAUCCGUAGAUAUUAGGAGGAACACCGGUGGCGAAGGCGGCUACCUGGACCGAUAUUGACGCUGAGACGCGAAAGCGUGGGGAGCAAACAGGAUUAGAUACCCUGGUAGUCCACGCCGUAAACGAUGAGUACUAGGUGUUGCGGGUAUUGUCCCCUGCAGUGCCGCAGCUAACGCAUUAAGUACUCCGCCUGGGAAGUACGGUCGCAAGACUAAA
rnacentral:rRNA from 1 species